GAGUGUCAGAACAGAUAGUGGAGAGUUUGUAGAGACAGAUCUUAUUAAGACCUCAAAGUCAAGACUCAAAAGGUUGAGCAUGGUGCAGCUAAUGUCCUGAGCUGAAGAUAUUUCAAAGUAAGGAGCAUUGCUGGAGAGGCAGGUGAGCGCAGGGCAUGCAUCAGCGUGUGGAAUUAUAUCGUAGCCAUUAGUGAGACUUGGUUGCAGGAGGAGCAGGACUGGCAGCUCAGUGUUCCGGGGUUCUGUUGCUCCAGACAUGACGGAGCAGGAGGGAUUAAGGGAUUAGUUUUACUUGUCGUGGAAAAUGUCAUGGCAGUGUUCCGUCAGGACAGACUGAAGAGGCAUUAUGGGUGGAGAUGAGGAAUAAAAAAGAUACUGACUACAUUAAUGGGACGAUACUAUAGACCGCCCUACAGUCGGCAGGAUUUAGAGGAACAAAUAUUUAUAGAGAUCGGAGACUGUUGCAAAAAACAUAAGGUUGAUAUAGUAGGUGAUUUUAACUUUCCAUGUACUAACUGGGAAUCCCAUACUGUAAAAGGACUAGAUGGGAUAGAGUUUGUCAAAUACGUUCUGGUCUCCUCACUACAGGAAGGAUGUGGAAACCAUAGAAAGAGUGCAGAGGAGAUUUACGAGGAUGUUGCCUGGAUUGGGGAGCAUGCCUUAUGAGAAUAGUUGGCCUUUUCUCCUUGGAGCGACAGAGGAUGAGAGGUGACCUGAUAGAGGUGUAUAAGAUGAUGAGAGGCAUUGAUCGUGUGGAUAGUCAGAGGCUUUUUCACAGGGCUGAAAUGGCUGCCACAAGAGGUUUAAGGUGCUGGGGAGUAGGUACAGAGGAGAUGUCAGGGGUAAGUUUUUUACGCAGAGAGUGGUGAGUGCGUGGAAUGGGCUAUCGGCAAUGGUGGUAGAGGCAGAUACGAUAGGGUUUUUUAAGAGAUUUUUGGAUAGGUACGUGGAGCUUAGAAAAAUAGAGGGCUGUGGGUAAGGCUAGUAAUUUCUAAGGUAGGGACACGUUCAGCACAACUUUGUGGGCCAAAGGGCCUGUAUUGUGCUGUAUGUUUUCUAUGUCUCGAUGAGAGUUUCCUUAACCAGUACAUAGAAGUUCCAACAAGAGAGCGAGCAAUACUUGAUCUGCUAUUAGGGAAUGAGACAGGGCAGCUGACAGUGGUUUGUGUAGGGGAACACUAUGCAUCUAGUGAUCAUAAUGCCAUUAGUUUCAAAGCAAGUAUGGAAUAAAAAAGGUCAAGUCCGCAGGUUGAAUUCUAAAUUGGAGAAAGGCCAAUUUUGAUGGUAUCAGAAGGGAUCUGGCAAGUGUGGAUUGCGACAGGCUACUUUCUGGCAAAGAUGUACUUGGACAAGACGGACACUAAGCAUGCACACUGUGGCAGAUAUUUAUCUAAAAUGCGUGCCCGGGCCCUCUUUACUGCAGCACACCUCCACAACUUACUGUUCUCACGCCCAUGAUGACCCGGAGAGUGAAAAGAGGUCGCGCUGUUACCGCGCGCUAAAUUUAAAUUCCAUUGGGGCCAUGUUGUCACCAGCUGAACCUCGGGAGGUGGAAGGAGUUGCAAUGGUCCUUACACAGGCUAAUCCCCGCUUACCACAAAGGAAGUAGCUUUCAACGAGUGAGGAAGUUAGACACGUACUCCGACAAGGAUCAUAGGAGACAUCCUGAAUUUGCUUACCCUCCCAAGGAAGCAGAGUCACUGGUGAGCUUUCGUGAUCUGUGGGCUUUAGGCCUGAUGUUUUAAUACUUUCCAAAAAAUUUUAUUAUUUUAAAAUGAAUUUUGUUUCCCUCGUUAUAAAAUUAAAAGCAUAUUGUUAUUAAGUGUAAAUAUUUAAACAGGUUCCAAAUGUAACUGAUGCUUGUCUUUAUUGCAGUGACUCAGUGUCCCUGACCCCCCCCCGAGGAUGAUUCACGUGUAGUUCCCUUACAGUUCGAACCCCACACAGCACCAAUGCUUCUUUUCUCAUCUGGUCCCCAGGCUGUCUACAGUCCAAAUCCAAGGUUAACUCUGUGACUCUGUAUGUCAUCAUUUUUCUUAACACUUGUUUCAAACUGUGAUGAUCUGAUUUUGAUAUGUGAGGCAGGUUUUUUGUUAUUGGAUGGGCAACUAUGUAGAAGAAUGGCUUCAAUUACCUUGCCAUGAUUCCGGUCCAAAGAAAAAGAAUGUUUCAAAUUACAUUAUAACCAAAGGAUUGACGUUUACGGAAAGGAUGAGAAAUUGGAUUGAAAUUUGUCAACUGUUCUGCAGGACGGCCCAUUUGGAGAAGAGCUCAGUAAUCCGUAAGGCCUAAUUUAUUUGUGUGAUGGUGAGUGGCGAUAUAAAGGCAGGAGAUGAUAAUGGGAAUCACCUUUGAUGGAAAUAAUGCCCGGAGAGGGAAAGAAGACACAGGUAUGAGUGCUUUACAAGCUCCCGAGUGCUGGACAAAGUGGUGAAAUGAUAAAGCCAGGUGAUAAGGGAACUAACGUAGAACAGCAAAUUGUAAACGCAAGAGAUUCUGCAGAUGCUGGAAAUCCGGGGUAAAACACACCAGAUGCAGGAGGAGCUCAGCAGGUCAGACUGCAUCUGUGGAAAGCAAUAAACAGUCAGUGUUUUGGCUAGAGAUCCUUCAUCAGCACUGUUCAGUAACAUAGAACAGUAGAGGCCCUUCAGCCAACAAUUUUGUGCUAACCAAAAUUAACCUACUCCAUAAUCAAUCAAUCCUUUUCCUCCUACAUAGCCUAUAGCCCUCCAUUUUUCUUUCAUCCACGUACCUAUCUAAGAGUCUCUCAAGAACAUAGGACAUUUGGCCCACGAUGUUGUACCAGACUUUUAACCUACCUCAUGAUCAAUCAAUGCCUCCCCUCAUAUGGAACCUAUAGCCAUCAAUUUUACGAUCAUCCAUUUAGUUUUUUUACUAAAGCUCAUUUAAAAUGUCGCUAAUGUAUCUGCCUCUACCACCACUCCCAGCAGAGUGCUCCAGGCACUAUUUUCAUGGUCAUGAGAGAUUUUCAUCUAACAUAUUGAUUGGAUAAGCGGGAAUUAAAGAUUAAAGGUUAGCUUGAUUUGUCAUGUAUACAUUGAAGCUUCAAAACAUACAGCGAAAUGUGUUGUUUUAUAUCAAUCAACAACAUAGUCCAAGGGUGUGACAGGGGCAGCCCGCAAGUGUUGCCAUUCUUCACAAUUUACUACCCUCACUAAACUAUACAUCUUUGGAAAGUGAAGGAAACACAUGUGGUCACAAGGAGAAGCUAUAAACUCCUUACACAGUGGCAGGAAUCGAACCCCGAUCACUAGCACCGUAAAGCAUUGUAUUGUACUAACUGUAAUGCUAUGGAAUGGGUGAAGAACUAACUUGUGGAGUGUAUCAGGGAGUGUUUCCGAGAGAUGCAGUUUCCUAGACCUAACUAGCAGCAGGCUAUUUAAACUUGCUCGUAGGUAAUGAGAUGGAUGAAUAAAAGAUGUUAUGAUGAAGGGUCGGUGGUGAGUAGUGAUCUCAGUAUUGUAAAACUUCACAUAAAGCUCGAGGCAAACAGCCGGGUCCGGAGCAGUGACCUCAGCCUACAGACGGGCAAUUACACGGGUGUGAGGGUGGAGUUGUCUGAGGUGGAAAGGCUGAGCAGGCUCAGGGGCAGCUCAGUCGAUGAGCCGUGCCAGAUAUUUCGACAGCUGGUUCAUUCUGUUCAGUAGACAUUGAUCACAGUUAUAGGCAUGGAUUCCAUCAGAACGUGGAACGAUCCAUGGUCCAAAGGCAAAUGCAAUGUUUAUUUUAAUUUGUAUUGAUUUAUUUAGUGAUCCAGCGCAUCCAGCCCUUUGAGUCUUCUUACCCAGUGAGCCCUGACAACCCCGAUUAUCCUUAAGCUAAACACAGGACACUACACAGUGAACAAUUAACCUUGCUGGUACGUCGUUGGACUGUGGGAGGAAACUGGAGCACCCAAAGCAACACCUUGGUCCCAUCGGGAGGACUACAGACAGCUCCGGAAAUGGAAUCUGAGCUCCGAUACCCUGAGCUGUAACAGGGUCACGUCAACCACCACACCACCGCGGCGUCCUAUGCUAGCAUUCGAUUCUGGAGGACGAAGAAAUAAAAGCAAGGGUGUAAUGCUGGGGCUUUAAAAGGCAUUGGUCAGACCACACUUGGAGUAUUGCGAGCAGUUUUAAGACUAUAUCUAAGAAAGGAUGUGCUGGCAUUGGCGAGGAUCCAGAGGAGGUUCAUGAGAAUGAUCCCAGGAAUGAAGGGGUUAACACAGGAGGAGCAUUUGAUGGCUCGGGGUAUGUUCUUUAGAACACAGAGUGGUAAUCUCAUUGAAACCUGAACACUAUUGAAAACCCUAGACAGAGUGGAUGAGGAGAGGAUGUUUCCAGUACUGGGGCAGUCUGUGUUAGUCAUGUUUUAUUUUCUAUUUUUACCCACUGCUGCCGCAAGGACAACAAAUUUCACAACAUAUGCCAGAGAUAUUAAACCUGAUUCCGAUUCUUAGUAAUACAGCUGACAUAGUCAAAGACCCAUGUCGCUGCCAGGAUAUUCUCCAUCUACGACCACAAAGCAAUUCUGAAUCCAGGGAGCCAUUUCUCAUGGAUCCUACGCUUCAUGACAUCCUGGAUGAGUCUAACAUUGUCAGACACCUUACUAAAUCCAUAUGCACCAUACUGCUAUUGCAUUGUACCUGAAUUAUAGAAGAGCCCUGAUGGAAUUAGAUUAGAUUAGAUUAGAUUACGAGGACACGCAGUCCUCUUUUAUUGUCAUUUAGUAAUGCAUGCAUUAAGAACUGAUACAAUGUUCCUCCAGAAUGAUAUCAAAGAAACACAAGACAAACCAAGACUGAAAAAACUGACAAAAACCACAUAAUUAUAACAUAUAGUUACAACAGUGCAAAACAAUACCGUAAUUUGAUGAAGAACAGACCAUGAGCAUGGUAAAAAAAAAGUCUCAAAGUCUCUCAGAAGUCCCAUCAUCUCACUCAGACGGUUGAAGGGAGAAACUCCCUUUCAUGAGCUUCCAGCACAGCAAACUUGCCGAUGCAGCAUCCUGGAAGCACCCGACCACAGUCCGUCUCUGAGUCCGUCUGAAAACUUCGAGCCUCCGACCAGCUCUCUGACACCGAGCACCGAGCACCAUCUCUGCCGAGCACUUCGACCCCGGCCCCAGCAACAGGCAAUAGGCAAAGCCGAGGAUCUGGGGCCUUCCCCUCCAGAGAUUCUCGAUUGCACAGUAGCAGCGGCAGUGAAGCAGGCAUUUCAGAAGUUACUCCAGAUGUUCCUCUGUGCUUCUCACGUCCGUCUCCAUCAAAUCAGGAUUGUGCACGGCAUCCUACUUCACAAAUAUGUAUCAUUCGGAGCGACCGCGUGCACGGCGUCGCGUCGCCAUCUUCUCCUCCCCCCUUUUAUACAUUACCAUGAGAUCUCCUCUCACUGUCCACUGACAACAAAUCUAGAGUCCUCCUGGUGUCUCCCUAUAGAGAAGGAUGGGACUGGUCCUUGGGUUAAGACUCUAAGGUAGAGAAGGUCAGUUUUGCUGACAUCAGAAGGGAUCUGGUAGGCGAGAAAGGAUAUCAAGGCUUGCAGCAGGAUGGGGACCUGCUGGAAAAAUGGGCUGAUAAAUGGCAAAGGGAAUUCAAUGCAGGCAAGUGUGAGGUAUUGCACUUUGGGAGGACAAACCAGGGUAGGAUUUACACAGUAAAUGGUAGGGCAGUGAGGAGUGUGGCAGAACAAAAGGACCUGGUAAUACAGAUGCAUAAUUCCUUGAAACAGAUGAACAAAUAAUUCCUUGAAAAUGGCUUUGCAGGUAGUUAGGAUUGUAAAGAGAACUUUGGCGCAUUGGCCUCAUAAAUCAAGGCAUUACACACAGGAGUUGGGAUGUUAUGUUGAAUUUAUAUUAGACAUUUUUGAGGACAAAUUUGGAGUAUUGUGUGCAGUUCUGGUCACCUACCUACAGGAAAGAUAUCAAUAAGCCUGAAAGAGUACAGAGAAAACUUUCAAAGACGUUUCUGGGACUUGAGGACCUAAGUUGUGGGGAAAGGUUUGGACUUCAUUCCCUGGAGUGUUGGAGAAUGAGAGGAGAUUUGAUAGAGACAUUCAAAAUUAUGGGGGUAUAGGUAGGGUAAAUGCAAACAGGCUUUUUCCACUGAGGUUAAGUGAGAUUAGAACUAGAGGUCAUGGGUUAAGGGUGAAAGGUGAAAUGUUUCAGGGGAACAUGAGGUGGAACUUCUUCACGAGGAGGAGGGAAGUGGAGCAAGCUGCCAACAGAAGUGGUGGGCUGUGGAUUUGAUCGUACCGAAGAGAAGUUUGGAUGAGUACAAGGCUGGGAGGGAUAUGGAAGGCUAUGGUCAAUGGGACUGGGCAGAAGCCCAAGCCAGCACUGAUUCGCCGGCCUGAAGAGCCUGUGUCUGUACUGUAGUGCUUCAUGACUUUAUGAUUCCUUAUUCAACAGUCCUGCCCUCCCAGGACAUAGUUUGGUGAACCCUUCCCUGCACCAUCACUUUUGCAACCAUGUCUAGUCAGGCCAAACCUGAACCUGGCACCUCAUCUGUGGUCUCAACCAAACCCCAUGCCAUUGCACACUCAGAUCCUCCCAGGACUACUGUGGCACACAUCAUUAAAGACCCUCGCCAACCAGGACAUGCCUCUUCUCAUCACUACUAUGAGGAGGAGGCACAGGAGCCGGAAGGCACACACCCAAUGUUUUAGGAACAGUUUAAUACUAUCGAUACUAUGAAUUACAAAACUAAAUUGUGCGUAGAAAAGGGAGUAACCAGAUGGUAUAAUUGAUAAUGCUGGCUGCUUUACUGAAGCAGCAAGAAAUGUAAACACAGCCCAUAGGGGAGAGGCCGAGUUUCCGUGACAUGAUGAGUUGUACCCACAACAAUGAAGUUCCUUGCAGUCACGGGUAGAAUAGGUGCCAUACCAAAAUGCCGGAGACUCGACAGGUCAGGUAGCAUCUAUGGAGGGAAAUAAACAGUUGAUUUUUCAGGUCCACCAUUUUGUGUGCGUUGCUCUGGAUUUCCAGCCCCUGCAGAGUCUCUUGUGUCCAUGAGAUAGUUCUCAUGGAUUCAUGGACCAUUUGGCAAUCUGAUAACGGAGGGGAAGAAGCUGAAGGUCAUGGUUAAGGGGAACCUGAGGGGCAACCUUUUCACUCGGAGGGUGGCGGGGAGAGUGGAACGAGCUGCCAGCGGAAGUGGCGGAUGUGGGUUCGAUUUAGGAGAGGUACAUGGAUGGAAGGGGUGUGGAAGGCUGUGAUUCAAAUGCUGGUGAAUGAAACUAGCCAGAAUAACAGCUCAGCCUGAACUAGGUGGGCCUCAGGGCCUCUUUCUGUGCUGCAGUGCUCUAUCAUUCUAUCACUCUAUAAGAGAAUAAACACAUUAUUAGGCCAUUCAGCCCAUUGAUUCUGCUCUGUACUUCCACCACAGCUAAGUUGUUAUCCCUCUCAACCCAUUCUCCUGCCUUCUCUCCAUAACCUUUCACAGCCUUGUUAAUCAAGAACCUAUUGACCUCUGUUUUACAUACACUCAAUUACUUUGCCUCCACAACUGUCUAUGGCAAUAAAUUCCACAGAUUUAAAACCUUCUGGCUAAAGAAAUUCCUCCUCUUCUCUGUUCUAAAAGGACAGACUGAGGCUGCAUCCUCUGGUCCUAGGCUCCCCCGCUAUAGGAAACGUCCUUUCCACACCCACUCUGUCGAGUCCUUUCAAUAUUCAGUAGGCUUCAAUGAGAACCCCUCCCCCUUUCUUCUAAUUUCCAGCAAGUACAGACCCAAAGCCAUCAAAUGUUCCUCGUAUUUCAUUGCCUUUCAUUCCCUGGAUCAUUUUUGUGAACCUGUUCUGGACCCUCUCCAAAGGCAGCAUAUCGUUUCUUCAAUAGAGGCUGAAAAUGGCUCACAAUACCCCAAGUGUGGUCUGACCAAUGACUUAUAACGCCUCAGGUUUAUAUCCUUGCUUUUAUAUUCUAGGCCUCCUGAAAUGAAUGCUAACAUUGAAUUUGCCUUCCUUACCACUGACUCAACCUGCAAGCUAACAUUUUGGAAAUCCCGCACGAGGACUCCAAGUUCCCUUGCACCUCUGAUUUUUGAAUUUCUUUGGAAUUUCUUCUACCGAAGUGCAUGACCAAACAUUUUCCUACACAAUAUUCCAUCUGCCACUUCUUUGUCCAUUCUCCUAAUCUGCCUCAGUCCUUCUGUCGAUGAUUCCCUGCUUCCUCAACACUACCAGCCCCUCCACCUAUCUUCAUUAUCACCCACAAACUUGGCCAGGAAGCCGGCAAGAAUGGAGAGCCAUGGACACUGUAUAAACAGAAGAGACUUGUGUGGUUAGGCUUUCAACUACUAAUUUAAUGUGUUCACACAGAGCCAUUUCAAUGAAAUGGGAUUAUGCAGGAUGAGCCUAAUUAGGUUUCUGAUGGUUGUUACAGUCUCAGGUAUCAGUGCACUCACUUGUAUAUUACGUUUCCCAGACUCUCGCCGUUUCAGUAACACAUUGCUUUCCUGUGGAGCUGCGUCAGGGUGUAGUUUUUUUUUAGUAUUUUCUUUGUACUUUAACUCUCCUCUGCUCCCUUUUAUUUUUUAUAUAUGCGUAAUUGUUCAGUAAAUCGUCAUGUAACUGUAGUAUAGUUUAUUCUGUAUUUUUAGAAACCUCUCGGUUUUUCAGUAGCAGGUGUCAUGCUGGUGGAAUCUGGCUAUCUCAUAGGUUAAUUGUUAUCCUUUGAAUGUUGUUUCUCUCUAGUCUGAAUGUGAGAAAACCACAACUGUCUUCUCCUUUGUCUUCUUUUCUUUGUUAAUUAUUUGCUCUUGUAACACUGUCAUCGUGUUACACUAACCGCUAUGCCACUGACACGAUUAGCAUAAGGCUAUUGCAGUGCCAGCGGCCCAGGUUCGAUUCCUGCUGCGGCACGUUCUUCCACGAGCCGCGUCAAUUUCCUCCGGGUGCUCUGGUUUCCUCCCACAUUCCAACGAUGUACAGGUUAGUCCUGACGAAGGGUCUCGGCCUGAAACGUCGACUGCACCUCUUCCUACAGAUGCUGCUUGGCCUGCUGCGUUCACCAGCAACUUCGAUGAGCGUUGCUUGAAUUUCCAGCAUCUGCAGAAUUCCUGUUGUUUACAGAAGAACCUCUCGAUCAAUAUCACUGGAUCCGGCAGAGAGCAGCACCCCAUCGCCCUGCAGGUGAUACCAAAGUCCUCAGAACAGUGGCUUGGAGGGGCAGUGAGAUCUGGUGAAACAAGAGCUGAGCAUGCGGUGGUGACUCCAGGAAUGGCUUCUCCUCGUGGGACUGCUGGUUACAUAUGACAAAUCCGUGCGGAGUUUAAUGAUCCAGCGAUUCGGGAAUUCAACUCUUGGGAAAACGUUGCCAUCUCGCUCGAUAAGAUGCUGUUGCCUCCCAGUGGAUGAAUCCAGUAUUGCAAGUGGAAUCGUCACCCGGCAAGUGACUGGAGGACAGAUUCUACCAAACUUUUAAAACUAUUUAUCUCACUUUUUAAAAAGUUUAAAAUCUGUUUGAGUUCUCUGCCUACUUUCUGUAAGUCUGCUCCCGGAGCUUCGGUAGCUCAGAGAAACUCGUACGUGGCUUCAGAGUACUUUGCCAAUGAGCAGGAGAUCACGGCAAGCAUUUGUAACGUCUCAGUAACUUGUCAGCUGUUUCUGGGAAUUAUCCACUGACAGAAGCUGCUAGCUUCUGAAUGGUGAACGUGGAAAGAGAGCUGGGAAAGCUGAGAGACAGACAGGGGAGAGUGAGAGUGAGUUAUUACUCUGCCAUCAUGAGCCAGUGUGGGUAACGUUACUCACUCCAACUCCAAACUGAUUCCACAACCCGGGACUCUACAACUCGUGUUCCCAGUAUUAGUUACUUAGUUAUUUGUUUAAUUAUUUAUUUACUUGUUUAUUUAUUUUUUAUUUGCACGAUUUGCCUUCAUUUGGACAUUGGUCGUUUGUCAGUCUUUGUGUGUAGUUCUUCAUUGACUCGAAUGUAUUUCUUUGUUGUACUGUGAAUGCCUGCAAGAAAAUGAAUGUCAGGGUGGUAUAUGGUGAAUAUAUAGGUAC